AAGCCAUGAUGAGGGCAUUUGGUUUGAUAAACUUUGAAGCGUUCCCAAGCUUCACAAAAGGUUUCCGUUUGCUUGAUAUCUGGAUAUCUCAUUCCAGAGUCU
rnacentral:snoRNA from 1 species